rnacentral:rRNA from 1 species
AACGGCCACACCAUAUUGAAUAUACCGGUUCUCGUUAGAUCACCGAAGUCAAGCAUCAUUGGGCGCGGUCAGUACUUGGGUGGGUGACCACCUGGGAACACCGCGUGCCGUU